GACAGAGGCUGCAGAAGCCCGGGCAACACUUGUGGUGGCAGCAGGUGAUGUGCACUUGUUCCAAGUCCUCCAGAAGUCUGCGUAAUCCUCGGGAUUCCGGGCGGCUGCUGGGAUGGCCAUGUAAGGUGGAGUGGAAGGAAGAGAGGCUGCAGUGAGUCAAGAUUGCGCCACUGCACUCCAGCCCGGGUGACAGAGCAAGACUCCAUGACACACACAAACACACACACACACUCACACACACACUCUUUUCCCUAAACUUGACGGUGGCAGAAGGAACCAUUAUUUUAUUGCAGCAAAGGGCAAAGUUGAAAGGGAAAUUAGAUCUCUAAAUACUCCAAGCCCCUCAUUUUACAGAGGAGAAAACUUCCAGCUCAGAGAGGGGAAGUGACUUGCCCAAGGUCUCACCACAAGUUAGAGGCAGAGGCAGGACCAGAACUGAU
rnacentral:lncRNA from 1 species